AACUAACGCUGGCGGCGUGCCUAACACAUGCAAGUCGUACGAGAAAGCCGGCUUCGGCUGGUGAGUAAAGUGGCGCACGGGUGAGUAACGCGUGGAUAAUCUGCCCUUAAGUGUGGAAUAACGUACCGAAAGGUGCGCUAAUACCGCAUAAUGCCUGGCAACACAAGUUGUCCGGCCAAAGAAGGCCUCUGUUUACAAGCUUUCGCUUCAGGAUGAGUCCGCGUACCAUUAGCUUGUUGGUGGGGUAAUGGCCUACCAAGGCUGCGAUGGUUAGCUGGUCUGAGAGGAUGAUCAGCCACACUGGAACUGAGACACGGUCCAGACUCCUACGGGAGGCAGCAGUGAGGAAUAUUGCGCAAUGGGGGCAACCCUGACGCAGCAACGCCGCGUGAGUGAGGAAGGUUUUCGGACUGUAAAGCUCUGUCGAGCGGGAAGAAAUGCCUGAUGGCUAAUAUCCAUCAUGCUUGACGGUACGCU
rnacentral:rRNA from 1 species